UUAUAAAAAAUAAAUCAAUUUGUAUAAAAAGCUCAUCGGUUUUGUAUUUUUAUAAAAGUAUAUAUUUUUUUUGAUUUUACAGAUUAGGUCUAUAUUUUAGUAAACUGACCAAAAAAAUCUUGUUUUUCCUUCUCUCGCCUUUAUCUCUUAUUCAUUUUUUUUCUUCUUCCUCCUCGCUAUCAAUUUCUUUCUCCUCGCUAUCAAUUUCUUUUUCUCUUCCUGCUUUCUCUCCAUCCUCCUCCUUUUCCAUUGCCCCUAU
rnacentral:lncRNA from 1 species